rnacentral:rRNA from 1 species
UCCAUAGGUUAAUGAGGCGAACCGGGGGAACUGAAACAUCUAAGUACCCCGAGGAAAAGAAAUCAACCGAGAUUCCCCCAGUAGCGGCGAGCGAACGGGGAGGAGCCCAGAGCCUGAAUCAGCAUGUGUGUUAGUGGAAGCGUCUGGAAAGGCGCGCGAUACAGGGUGACAGCCCCGUACACAAAAGCGCAUGUGCUGUGAGCUCGAUGAGUAGGGCGGGACACGUGGUAUCCUGUCUGAAUAUGGGGGGACCAUCCUCCAAGGCUAAAUACUCCUGACUGACCGAUAGUGAACCAGUACCGUGAGGGAAAGGCGAAAAGAACCCCGGCGAGGGGAGUGAAAAAGAACCUGAAACCGUGUACGUACAAGCAGUGGGAGCACCCUUCGGGGUGUGACUGCGUACCUUUUGUAUAAUGGGUCAGCGACUUAUAUUCUGUAGCAAGGUUAACCGUAUAGGGGAGCCGGAGGGAAACCGAGUCUUAAUUGGGCGUUAAGUUGCAGGGUAUAGACCCGAAACCCGGUGAUCUAGCCAUGGGCAGGUUGAAGGUUGGGUAACACUAACUGGAGGACCGAACCGACUAAUGUUGAAAAAUUAGCGGAUGACCUGUGGCUGGGGGUGAAAGGCCAAUCAAACCGGGAGAUAGCUGGUUCUCCCCGAAAGCUAUUUAGGUAGCGCCUCGUGAAUUCAUCUCCGGGGGUAGAGCACUGUUUCGGCUAGGGGGCCAUCCCGGCUUACCAACCCGAUGCAAACUGCGAAUACCGGAGAAUGUUAUCACGGGAGACACACGGCGGGUGCUAACGUCCGUCGUGAAGAGGGAAACAACCCAGACCGCCAGCUAAGGUCCCAAAGUCAUGGUUAAGUGGGAAACGAUGUGGGAAGGCCCAGACAGCCAGGAUGUUGGCUUAGAAGCAGCCAUCAUUUAAAGAAAGCGUAAUAGCUCACUGGUCGAGUCGGCCUGCGCGGAAGAUGUAACGGGGCUAAACCAUGCACCGAAGCUGCGGCAGCGAACGUAUCACCCAAGACAACUUUACGGAGUUGACGAUUGACGGAGCGAAGCGACGUCAAAGCGUUCAUUAAAGUCGAGUUGGCUUAGGGAUACGUUCGUUGGGUAGGGGAGCGUUCUGUAAGCCUGUGAAGGUGUGUCGUGAGGCAUGCUGGAGGUAUCAGAAGUGCGAAUGCUGACAUAAGUAACGAUAAAGCGGGUGAAAAGCCCGCUCGCCGGAAGACCAAGGGUUCCUGUCCAACGUUAAUCGGGGCAGGGUGAGUCGACCCCUAAGGCGAGGCCGAAAGGCGUAGUCGAUGGGAAACGGGUUAAUAUUCCCGUACUUGGUGUUACUGCGAAGGGGGGACGGAGAAGGCUAUGUUGGCCGGGCGACGGUUGUCCCGGUUUAAGCGUGUAGGUGUGUGUUCCAGGUAAAUCCGGUUCACUUUAACACUGAGGCGUGACGACGAGGCACUACGGUGCUGAAG